UAUCAGUACCUUUUUAGUUCUGAAGAAAGGAUAAAUCAGAAAGUUAAGUGUUCUGCUAACAGUACCUCAGUUAGUAAAUGAUUAUCCCCAGAUUUCAACUCCAAUGAAUCUGAAACCAGAAGUUGUAACCACUAUUACACACAACCCCUUAAUUAGAACAGGGCUUAGAGAACAGAAAAGCUGAUUCAUACCUACUAAUUUUAAGUGAGAGAGAGAGAGAGAGAAAAAAAAAAAAAAAAAAAAAAGACUGUUGGUGAUAAGAGUCUUUUAUCCAAAAUGCAGGGUAUUUAUUCUCCAGGGAGGUCAGUCAUGACUGGCCAAAAGCCCUCAUUUGCUACUCUUAGAAAUGGAAGACUGAAAAGGCUGGACCAUGGUCUCAUCGAUUUCAAACCCCUGGCAAGUGGUUGUUAAACCACAGCCGUCACAUCAAAAGAGGAAAAAGAAGCCAUUUCCUAUAAUAGCUGAACAAACAAACAGAGUUCUCUAAAAAGCAAGUAGAGACCCUAAGGCUGAGAAAAGUAAUAUUAAGAGUGCUCCAAAAUCACAUAGAAAUGCCAUAGUAGAACACAACAUUAGUCUUUAAACAUCAAAGUUUUAUGCGGGAAGUAAUGAAGGUGUUUAUGUCUGUUUCCAAUACCAAGCUCCAGGAGGCCUUCCCUGGAGGAAGUAAAAUAAGAGGAAGUUCCUACCACAGCCCACUGUUGCAGGAGGAGAAGCAGACAGUCAGUCAGUCAAGAGACCCCUGGUGAAGGGCAGUGUCACCUGAGAGCCACACCCCACUCCUCCAACACCAGUUUCCUCCCUAGUGAAAUAGUCACCUCAGAAAUGAGAAUGAAAUAGACCAGCAGGAGAAACAGGGUGGUCCACUGAAAUACAGGAAUGGAGGCAACGCCCGGCUCCAACCCCAGGAGACCCAAGCAUCUUCCCAGCCCGCAGGGAGAGGCACCUGGGCGCAGAGGAAAGGGCCCCAAGCCUCCGGCGAAGGAAAGGGCGGCCGGCUAGUCCCUGGUAGCGGUCCUCACCCGGCGGCGCGAGGGAGGCCUUCCCGGCAGAUCGCCUGUCACUUACGGGCGGCACCUCCAGGCAGAGCCGGGCAGAGCAGGGCCAGCGGGCCAGCGGGUGGCGGAGUUUGCUGACUCAAAGGCGCGGCGGCGGUGUUCAAAACAGUCCCAUUAGUCAAUCUUAAAUCUACCAUGCCUUUAAAAGGG
rnacentral:lncRNA from 1 species